GUCGGCAAGAUGAAGUUUUGAUUGCUGUUCUUAAACGUCACCAUAAUAAGCUUUGAAAGAUCAAAGAUUCACAGGACUCUGUGGAUCACAAGCUACUAAACUAUCAUUCCUGAAAACUAAGCAGCUCUUUAUGCAUUAUCAUGGAGAACUUGGAUAGACGGCACACUAUAUAUUUCCAUGGAUCACCCCCUCAAUGAGACAAAGACAAAUCAAUGAGGACGCAUCGCAUGCCAAUCAUACACAGUUCCUGGUAACUGCUGCACCAUUCUCCCUGGUCACACCUGCAACCCACAAGCUAAAGCCUCCUCCCUCGGCAGUGAUAGCUAUUGGCACAGUCUCCCUCCAUUACAGGAUUGUAAGAAGCAGUAUAAGGUCAGCUGGACCCGGUCACAGUGUCCUUCUUGGUGAGAAGGAAGACUCAUUGACAGCCUAUAUUGGUCAUGGUGCGUGUCCGCGCUCUUAGUUAAUUCUUCGAUGGUUGGAGUUUGGUGCUUUGGCAAAGUUGGAAGCUGCUUCUGAUACCAACUGUUCACUUGUUUCAUGGCUUUAUUCAAAGAAGCCCAGCUUUAUGGCAUGGCAUGAUGGAGACAGCAAGCCACAGCACCGGCUUUGACAAGAAAGACUUGUUGUCUAGCUUCAAGUUUUAUGUUCACACUAUGAGCUGUGUCAUGGGGGCAGCUAACGACAGCUUGCCGUGUAACGCUAAGCAGAUAAAGACGUGUUCGAUUAGAUCGAGAGACGUAUAGUAUCUAUCCAUUCAUCCAUCCAUCCAUUUAAGAGCUGCUCCUUGCUGUCCCCACACCAAGUAAGCUUCUACAGAAGCCUAAUAUCUCAGGCACCAGUCCAAUUCAACCACUGGAGAUCAUUUGCAGAGCCACAUACGUACUACGAGGCGACCACCGUCCGACCUCGUGCGCCGGCCUCGCUAACGUGCGCCGGGAAGUGCUGUCUUCUCUUUAUUUAAUGUUCCCUUCGUUGGCUGCUUUUGACAGCUACGCGACAAAGGCGCCAGCCACGGUGAGUCAAUUCUCCGACAAUGGGACGCGUACCAAACGCCACGCGUCUAUCAGCCAAUGGCAAAGCCUCGGGUCCCGCAUGGUGAUGGACAUUUUGUCGCCUUCCUAUGGGCCACGCGGGCGCGACAAAAGACAGGUCGGUAAGUGCUGAGGACGCCCGGCUUCAUCCUCCCCCUCCCUUCCUCGGUAGAUAUGAUGACGAGAAUGAUGUGAAAUGAGUUCAAAGCCUAUCCGCUGGGGAAAACGACGAACAAAGCUCCUCCAUGUCCAGCCAAGGUAGAUGUUAGAAAUCUGAGGAAAGAAUUAGAUUAUUCUUCAUUUAGAUAGAAGAAGAAGAAUGAGAAAGAAGGAAAGAAUUAGAUUAUCCUUCCUAAGAGUUCUAAGAUCACACUCCAUUCGCUUACAACUUUCUCCUCCGAUGAUGGAGGAAUCAGAGUUUUAACAGA
rnacentral:lncRNA from 1 species